rnacentral:rRNA from 1 species
AGAGUUUGAUCCUGGCUCAGAUUGAGCGCUGGCGGCAGGCCUAACACAUGCAAGUCGAACGGUAACACAGAGAGCUUGCUCUCCGCUGACGAGCGGCGGACGGGUGAGUAAUGUCUGGGAAACUGCCUGAUGGAGGGGGAUAACUACUGGAAACGGUAGCUAAUACCGCAUAACGUCGCAAGACCAAAGAGGGGGACCUUCGGGCCUCUUGCCAUCGGAUGUGCCCAGAUGGGAUUAGCUAGUAGGUGGGGUAACGGCUCACCUAGGCGACGAUCCCUAGCUGGUCUGAGAGGAUGACCAGCCACACUGGAACUGAGACACGGUCCAGACUCCUACGGGAGGCAGCAGUGGGGAAUAUUGCACAAUGGGCGCAAGCCUGAUGCAGCCAUGCCGCGUGUAUGAAGAAGGCCUUCGGGUUGUAAAGUACUUUCAGCGGGGAGGAAGGGAGUAAAGUUAAUACCUUUGCUCAUUGACGUUACCCGCAG